GUGGGGAAUUUUGGACAAUGGGCGCAAGCCUGAUCCAGCAAUGCCGCGUGCAGGAAGAAGGCCUUCGGGUUGUAAACUGCUUUUGUCAGGGAAGAAAUCUUCUGGGCUAAUACCCCGGGAGGAUGACGGUACCUGAAGAAUAAGCACCGGCUAACUACGUGCCAGCAGCCGCGGUAAUACGUAGGGUGCGAGCGUUAAUCGGAAUUACUGGGCGUAAAGCGUGCGCAGGCGGCUUUGCAAGACAGAUGUGAAAUCCCCGGGCUCAACCUGGGAACUGCAUUUGUGACUGCAAGGCUAGAGUACGGCAGAGGGGGAUGGAAUUCCGCGUGUAGCAGUGAAAUGCGUAGAUAUGCGGAGGAACACCAAUGGCGAAGGCAAUCCCCUGGGCCUGUACUGACGCUCAUGCACGAAAGCGUGGGGAGCAAACAGGAUUAGAUACCCGAGUAGUCC
rnacentral:rRNA from 1 species